AGAGUUUGAUCCUGGCUCAGAAUGAACGUUGGCGGCGUGGAUUAGGCAUGCAAGUCGUGCGCGAAACGUAGCAAUACGUGGAGAGCGGCGAAAGGGAGAGUACACCAUGGUUAGCUACCCUCGGGACUGGGAUAGCGGCGGGAAACUGCCGGUAAUACCAGAUGACGUCUUCGGACCAAACGUGUGAAUCGGCCCGAGGAGGCGACCGUGUCCUAUCAGCUAGUUGGCGGGGUAAUGGCCCACCAAGGCUAAGACGGGUAUGGGGCGUGAGAGCGUGCCCCCACUCACUGGGACUGAGAUACUGCCCAGACACCUACGGGUGGCUGCAGUCGAGAAUCUUCGGCAAUGGGCGCAAGCCUGACCGAGCGACGCCGCGUGCGGGAUGAAGGCCUUCGGGUUGUAAACCGCUGUCGUAGGGGAGGAAGGUCUGGUGCAGAGCCAGGCUUGACCGAUCCUAGGAGGAAGGGCCGGCUAAUCUCGUGCCAGCAGCCGCGGUAAU
rnacentral:rRNA from 1 species